GGAGUCGGCCAGGCAGUCGCGACGUGUUUCGACACGGCGAGGAAAGUCCGGGCUCCACAGGGCAAGGUGCCAGGUAACGCCUGGGCGGCGUGAGCCGACGGAAAGUGCAACAGAAAGCAAACCGCCGAACGGCAUCGCAAGAUGUGCGUGGCAAGGGUGAAACGGUGCGGUAAGAGCGCACCGCGUGCGGGGUCAACGCCGCAUGGCACGGCAAACCCCACCUGGAGCAAGACCAAAUAGGGGAGCUAUGGCGUGGCCCGCGUCGCUCCCGGGUUGGUUGCUUGAAUCCUGCGGCGACGCAGGAUCCAGAGGAAUGGCUGCCCACGACAGAACCCGGCUUAACGGCCGACUCCUUUU
rnacentral:RNase_P_RNA from 1 species